UGCGAACGACUCGGCGAGGUCGAUGGAGGCGGCGUUCGCGCCGGCGGUGGCGGCGGGGAUCCCGUGGGCCGCCGUGCUCGGCAACCACGACCAGGAGGGGAACCUCGGUCGGAGGGGGCUCAUGCGGCACAUCGCCUCCAUGCCGGCGGCGCUAUCGAGGGUCAACCCCGCCGGGCUGAGCUUCCCCAUCGACGGCUUCGGCAACUACCACCUGUCCGUAGCCGGCGCCGCGGGCUCCGCCAUGGCCAACCAGCCCGUCCUCAACCUCUACUUCCUCGACAGCGGCGACUACUCCUCCUCCGAUUUCUCAGUCUACGACUGGAUCAAGCCCUCCCAGCUGCUCUGGUUCCAGCAGAGCUCUGCCAAACUUCGGCGAGAGCACGGGGGCCCGGCGCCGGCGAUGGCCUUCUUCCACAUCCCCCUGCCGGAAUUUGGGAGUUUCGGGCCGGCCAACUCCACCGGGAUCCGGCAGGAGGGCAUCUCCUCCGCCGCCGUGAACUCGGGGCUCUUCGCCGCCAUGGUGGCCGCCGGCAACGUGAGGGCGGCGUUCGUCGGGCACGACCACCUCAACGACUUCUGCGGCGAGCUGGCCAGCGUGAACCUCUGCUACGGCGGCGGGUUCGGGUACCACGCGUACGGCCAGGCCGGGUGGCCGAGGAGGUCGAGGGUCAUCGCCGUCUCCCUGGAGAAGACGAUGGCGUCGCCGGCAGGGUGGGGCGGAGUGAAGACGAUCAGGACGUGGAAGCGCCUCGACGACCGGAAUCUCUC
rnacentral:lncRNA from 1 species